GAGUUUGAUCUUGGCUCAGAUUGAACGCUGGCGGCAUGCCUUACACAUGCAAGUCGAACGGCAGCACGGGAGCUUGCUCCUGGUGGCGAGUGGCGAACGGGUGAGUAAUGCAUCGGAACGUAUCCUGGAGUGGGGAUAACGUAGCGAAAGUUACGCUAAUACCGCAUAUUCUGUGAGCAGGAAAGCGGGGGACCUUCGGGCCUCGCGCUCUUGGAGCGGCCGAUGUCGGAUUAGCUAGUUGGUGAGGUAAAGGCUCACCAAGGCGACGAUCCGUAGCAGGUCUGAGAGGAUGAUCUGCCACACUGGAACUGAGACACGGUCCAGACUCCUACGGGAGGCAGCAGUGGGAAUUUGGACAAUGGGGGCAACCCUGAUCCAGCCAUGCCGCGUGAGUGAAGAAGGCCUCGGUUGUAAGACGUCUUCGUCG
rnacentral:rRNA from 1 species